GAUGAACGCUGGCGGCGUGCCUAAUACAUGCAAGUCGAGCGAACGGACGAGAAGCUUGCUUCUCUGAUGUUAGCGGCGGACGGGUGAGUAACACGUGGAUCACCUCCCUAUAAGACUGGGAUAACUUCGGGAAACCGGAGCUAAUACCGGAUAAUAUUUUGAACCGCAUGGUUCAAAAGUGAAAGACGGUCUUGCUGUCACUUAUAGAUGGAUCCGGGCUGCAUUAGCUAGUUGGUAAGGUAACGGCUUACCAAGGCAACGAUGCAUAGCCGACCUGAGAGGGGGAUCGGCCACACUGGAGCUGAGACACGGUCCAGACUCCUACGGGAGGCAGCAGUAGGGAAUCUUCCGCAAUGGGCGAAAGCCUGACGGAGCAACGCCGCGUGAGUGAUGAAGGUCUUCGGAUCGUAAAACUCUGUUAUUAGGGAAGAACAUAUGUGUAAGUAACUGUGCACAUCUUGACGGUACCUAAUCAGAAAGCCACGGCUAACUACGUG
rnacentral:rRNA from 1 species